GAUGAACGCUAGCGGCAGGCCUAAUACAUGCAAGUCGAGGGGUAACAGGAAGUGCUUGCACUUCGCUGACGACCGGCGCACGGGUGAGUAACGCGUAUACAAUCUACCUCAUACUAGAGGAUAGCCCGAAGAAAUUUGGAUUAACACUCUAUAGUAUCAUUUAAAGACAUCUUUUUAUGAUUAAAGGUUACGGUAUGAGAUGAGUAUGCGUUCUAUUAGUUUGUAGGUGAGGUAACGGCUCACCUAGACUGCGAUAGAUAGGGGCCCUGAGAGGGGGACCCCCCACACUGGUACUGAGACACGGACCAGACUCCUACGGGAGGCAGCAGUAAGGAAUAUUGGUCAAUGGACGAAAGUCUGAACCAGCCAUGCCGCGUGCAGGAUGAAUGCCCUAUGGGUUGUAAACUGCUUUUAUAUAGGAAGAAAAACUUUCUCGUG
rnacentral:rRNA from 1 species